rnacentral:rRNA from 1 species
CAGUCGCCGCGGUAACACGAAGGGUGCAAGCGUUACUCGGAAUUACUGGGCGUAAAGCGUGCGUAGGUGGUGGUUUAAGUCCGUUGUGAAAGCCCUGGGCUCAACCUGGGAAUUGCAGUGGAUACUGGAUCACUAGAGUGUGGUAGAAGGUGGUGGAAUUUCCUGUGUAGCGGUGAAAUGCGUAGAUAUAGGAAGGAACACCAGUGGCGAAGGCGACCACCUGGACUAAUACUGACACUGAGGUGCGAAAGCGUGGGGAGCAAACAGGAUUAGAGACCCCUGUAGUCCCUGUCUCUUAUAU